rnacentral:rRNA from 1 species
GAUCAUGGCUCAGGACGAACGCUGGCGGCGCGCCUAACACAUGCAAGUCGAACGAGCGAGAGGAAAGCUUGCUUUCUCGAGCGAGUGGCGAACGGGUGAGUAACGCGUGAGGAACCUGCCUCAAAGAGGGGGGACAACAGUUGGAAACGACUGCUAAUACCGCAUAAGCCCACGGCUCGGCAUCGAGCAGAGGGAAAAGGAGCAAUCCGCUUUGAGAUGGCCUCGCGUCCGAUUAG